CCAGGCUUGGCUUGAGAAAAGAAAGCAUAUUCAUGCCUCACGUUUUUGUAAAAUUACAGACAAAGACGUUUCCUCGUUCCGGCCUGGAUGUGGAUUUCAGUGUGACCCCAGGAUUGCCGUGCAUGGAGGCAGGUCCCAAAGCAGCCAUGUCAAAGCCUGUGGGAUCGAUCACUCUGCGGUAGAGGACGCUAGGCACUCAUUGCCCUGCAAGGCCCAGCGUCAUUUUUCUAGGACCUAGUUUUAGUGAGAAAGGAUUGUUACAAAAGACAAAGCCUGGCCCUGCUUGUACCUCUCUGGUUCCUUAUUCUGUCACGAAGCCAUCCACCACGAUGUUGAUCCAGAGGCGUCCUCACAAAGCCGCCUACGCUGUUGGCCGGUCAGCCUUCCAGACUCGGAAUUCAAUACACCCUUCUUUCUGCCACCACCCAGCUGAAGGUGUUUUUGUAAAAGAAAACAGAGGCGUAUGCUUUCCAUUUGCAAGCUCGGUUCUGUAGUAAUUUAUUUUUAUAGGCCCCAUCCCUGGUCCAGGGCAAAGCCUGCAAAAACGGAGUAUGAGA
rnacentral:lncRNA from 1 species